GACGAACGCUGGCGGCGUGCCUAAUACAUGCAAGUUGAGCGCUGAAGGUUGGUACUUGUACCGACUGGAUGAGCAGCGAACGGGUGAGUAACGCGUGGGGAAUCUGCCUUUGAGCGGGGGACAACAUUUGGAAACGAAUGCUAAUACCGCAUAAAAACUUUAAACACAAGUUUUAAGUUUGAAAGAUGCAAUUGCAUCACUCAAAGAUGAUCCCGCGUUGUAUUAGCUAGUUGGUGAGGUAAAGGCUCACCAAGGCGAUGAUACAUAGCCGACCUGAGAGGGUGAUCGGCCACAUUGGGACUGAGACACGGCCCAAACUCCUACGGGAGGAAGCAGUAGGGAAUCUUCGGCAAUGGACGAAAGUCUGACCGAGCAACGCCGCGUGAGUGAAGAAGGUUGUCGGAUCGUAAAACUCUGUUGGUAGAGAAGAACGUUGGUGAGAGUGGAAAGCUCAUCAAGUGACGGUAACUACCCAGAAAGGGACGGCUAACUACGUG
rnacentral:rRNA from 1 species